rnacentral:lncRNA from 1 species
UCAUAUAUUUAUUCUUGUUUUUUAUUUUUAUUUUAUAAUAUUUGUUGAUUAUAUUUUUUAUAUUUACAAUAUAAAGGGUAAAAUAUAUUAACUAAUUUUUAAAAUACAAAGUUGCGGUACGGUACGGAAUUACCAUGGUAUUGAAGAUACAAUACCGCUACCGUACCGUAAGAUAAUGGUACGGUACCGAUACCGUACCAAAUGUAGUGGUAACCGAUAGUUCGGUAUUUAUUCGGUAAUUGUUGGUAGGUAUACCGUGGUAAUCGGUAUUUGGUAAUUUUUGCCCAAC